UAGUUUACUGUAUAAAUAAUGUACAUGAUAAAAUCAGCAAAUAUAUCCCCAUUUGAAAGAGCUUCAACUCAAUUAAAGAAUGUGUGUGUGCACUUUUUUUUAUAAAAUUCACAGAACAUACAGUACACAAUUAAUUUUGUUCAGCUUUGAGAUAUGUAUGAAACCCUAAGCAGCCUCUUCCUUUUAUACAAAUCAUUAUGCAAACCAGAUACUCUACAUCAUUUUAUAAGGAGCUCUGUGUAUUAAACAAACUCAGUGAUACAGAGCAGCAGAUAAUUUUAUGUUUGUAACUUUCAUUUUUUACAGCACAUAAUGAGGUGGUUCCAUAUUGCACUUCUCCUGCUUAUGUCUACAACAUGUGUCUUCUCACAAGUUACUCUCAAUCAGCCUGAGUCUGAAGUUGUGAAGCCCUCAGGGACCCUGAAAAUCACUUGUCAUGUCUCAGUCUCUGUUGGCAGCUAUUACUGGGGCUGGGUCAGGCAAUUACCUGGGAAAGGACUGGAAUACAUGGGACGCAUUACUAGCGGUGGGGAACAACAGAUUGCCCCGUCCUUCCAGGGUCAAAUCACUUUAACCAGGGACACAUCAAAAAAUGAAAUUUAUCUGCAAAAACCUAAUAUGAAGAUAUCAGAAUCUGGAAUGUAUUUCUGUGCUAGAGACACAGCCAAACAAGGGAGUCAGGAUGUGUAAAAAAAACUCCUGAGACUAUGGGGAGAGGGAGGGAGAGAAGAAAAACAAUAAUUUAACAUUCCUGUAUCUACAAUUCUAGUAGCUUUUUAUUUAGUUUGUAAUAAUAUAUCCUUUUAUGGGGGAUUUUAAUUUCUCAAUUCCUAAUGCUUUUUAAAGUUUGAUUGGAAAUAAACUCUGACAUUAAAAUA